GGAGGAAAGUAGGGGAUCGUAAGACCUUGCGCUUUUGGAGUGGCCGAUGCCUGAUUAGCUAGUUGGUGGGGUAAGAGCCUACCAAGGUGACGAUCAGUAGUUGGUCUGAGAGGACGACCAGCCACACUGGGACUGAGACACGGCCCAGACUCCUACGGGAGGCAGCAGUGGGGAAUCUUGGACAAUGGGCGAAAGCCUGAUCCAGCAAUGCCGCGUGAGUGAAGAAGGCCUUCGGGUUGUAAAGCUCUUUCAGUCGAGAAGAAAAGGUUGCGACUAAUAGUCGCAACUUAUGGCGGUAUCGACAGAAGAAGCACCGGCUAACUACGUGCCAGCAGCCGCGGUAAUACGUAGGGUGCGAGCGUUAAUCGGAAUUACUGGGCGUAAAGGGUGCGCAGGCGGCUCUGUAAGUCAGAUGUGAAAUCCCCGGGCUUAACCUGGGAAUUGCGUUUGAAACUACAAAGCUAGA
rnacentral:rRNA from 1 species